UGCUCCGGUAUCAAGGAUGCCUUCAAACUCUU
rnacentral:piRNA from 1 species